rnacentral:rRNA from 1 species
CCUACGGGAGGCAGCAGUGAGGAAUAUUGGUCACUGGACGAGAGUCUGAACCAGCCAAGUAGCGUGAAGGAUGACUGCCCUAUGGGUUGUAAACUUCUUUUAUAUGGGAAUAAAAUGUUCCACGUGUGGGAUUUUGUAUGUACCAUAUGAAUAAGGAUCGGCUAACUCCGUGCCAGCAGCCGCGGUAAUACGGAGGAUCCGAGCGUUAUCCGGAUUUAUUGGGUUUAAAGGGAGCGUAGGUGGAUUGUUAAGUCAGUUGUGAAAGUUUGCGGCUCAACCGUAAAAUUGCAGUUGAAACUGGCAGUCUUGAGUACAGUAGAGGUGGGCGGAAUUCGUGGUGGAGCGGUGAAAUGCUUAGAUAUCACGAAGAACUCCGAUUGCGAAGGCAGUUCACUGGACUGCAACUGACACUGAGGCUCGAAAGUGUGGGUAUCAAACAGGAUUAGAUACCCGGGUAGUC